CCAGACUCCUACGGGAGGCAGCAGUGGGGAAUAUUGGACAAUGGGGGAAACCCUGAUCCAGCGACGCCGCGUGAGUGAAGAAGUAUUUCGGUAUGUAAAGCUCUAUCAGCAGGGAAGAAAAUGACGGUACCUGACUAAGAAGCCCCGGCUAACUACGUGCCAGCAGCCGCGGUAAUACGUAGGGGGCAAGCGUUAUCCGGAUUUACUGGGUGUAAAGGGAGCGCAGACGGCAAUGCAAGUCUGAAGUGAAAGGCGUGGGCUCAACCCAUGAACUGCUUUGGAAACUGUAUAGCUUGAGUGUCGGAGGGGUAAGCGGAAUUCCUAGUGUAGCGGUGAAAUGCGUAGAUAUUAGGAGGAACACCGGAGGCGAAGGCGGCUUACUGGACGACAACUGACGUUGAGGCUCGAAGGCGUGGGGAGCAAACAGGAUUAGAUACCCUGGUAGUCCACGCAGUAAACGAUGAAUACUUGGUGUCGGGGAGGUAAACUCUUCGGUGCCGCAAGCUAACGCAUUAAGUAUUCCACCUGGGGAGUACGUUCGCAAGAAUGAAACUCAAAGGAAUUGACGGGGGCCCGCACAAG
rnacentral:rRNA from 1 species